rnacentral:lncRNA from 1 species
CCCGAGUCCGUCCGCGCCUCAGCUCAUAUCCGCCGCCCGCCAGCAACGCUCUUCCCGGAGGGAGGGCCGCAGUUCACGGGACCGGCCUCCGUACCUUUAAGACCUUGGAAGAGAUUUUUGAGUGUGCUUCCUGGAAGGACAAAAGGCAUGCAGGCUGAAGAGAGAAGGGAAGAGAGAAGAAUUUUAUUUGACAGCUUUGGGCUAAACUAACAGAGAAGGAGGAAAGAGAUCUGCUCCGCAUGCCUUUUCUAUAUAUUGGAGAUCUGCCAUCCAGGAGAAGCUGGCUGUGGAUGGUUUUCCUGAUACAAACCAGGUUGUUCUUGUCGGAGGAGAAGCUCGGGGCCUCACUGUCACUGGGAAUGGCUGCUGUUUUCAUCAGAGGAGCUCUGAUCUUCAUGAACAUCACUUCCUGGCCCCAAUGUGGAUCCCUCAGCUUGGUGGCACAAAUCCUUCAUCUCACCGGUGAUGGUUUUCUGGAUUCCACCAGUGGCCUUUGGGCCUUCCCAGUGCAGAUCCUCAAUAUGGACAAGAAUGUGACAUUGCUGUGGGCUCGAUGCCCCUGGCUGGACUCCUGGAGAACAUUGCCUUGGACUCUAAGCCUUUAGUUGGACUUGGGUGGGAUUGCUGGGAUCCAGGCCCUCAGCUGAAUCCUUUUGGCCCCUAGUGUGAGGUUAAUCUCUUGCACUCCUUUGCGUUUGACUUUUAGGGUAAUUAGCAUAAGAUAAUCUUCUAAAUUAUGUGUCCUGUAGUAAAUGUAUUACCUUAACAAAACCCUGACUACAACAGGAUCAGAAUGAGUGGGUGGAAAAUGGAGGGGAGUAACGGAAUUUAAAAUAAUGAAGAUAUGAUACAUAAGGAACCUCAUCCUUCUGUAUU